rnacentral:rRNA from 1 species
GUGCCAGCAGCCGCGGUAAUACGGAGGGGGCUAGCGUUAUUCGGAAUUAUUGGGCGUAAAGGGCGCGUAGGCGGCCCGGUAAGUCAAAGGUGAAAUCCCUCGGCUCAACUGAGGAACUGCCUUUGAAACUGUCGGGCUUGAGGCCGGGAGGGGGUAGCGGAAUUCCCAGUGUAGCGGUGAAAUGCGUAGAUAUUGGGAGGAACACCGGUGGCGAAGGCGGCUACCUGGACCGGUUCUGACGCUGAUGCGCGAAAGCGUGGGUAGCAAACAGGAGGAUAUACCACGGGAUUAC